rnacentral:rRNA from 1 species
UUGAACGCUGGCGGUAGGCUUAACACAUGCAAGUCGUGCGAGAAAGUAUCUUCGGAUAUGAGUAGAGCGGCGGACGGGUGAGUAACGCGUAGGAAUCUACCUAGUAGAAGGGGAUAGCCCGAGGAAACUCGGAUUAAUACCGUAUACCUCCUUCGGGAGAAAGAAGGCCUCUCUUUGAAGCUUUCGCUACUAGAUGAGCCUGCGUAAGAUUAGCUUGUUGGUGAGGUAAAGGCUCACCAAGGCUACGAUCUUUAGCGGGUCUGAGAGGACGAUCCGCCACAUUGGGACUGAGACACGGCCCAGACUCCUACGGGAGGCAGCAGUGGGGAAUAUUGGACAAUGGGCGCAAGCCUGAUCCAGCCAUACCGCGUGUGUGAAGAAGGCCCUAGGGUUGUAAAGCACUUUAAGUUGGGAAGAAAAGUUAUUGGUUAAUACCCAAUAACCGUGACAUUACCAUCAGAAUAAGGACCGGCUA